CUUCUUCUGCUAAACAUAGUCAAAUUCUGCAAUUAAUCAACUAAGAUAGAAAAAAAGAAGAGAAAAUUUAUAUGAGAAAGCGAGAGUAAGGAGGCAGAUUGCACCUGGCUAAUAAUCGUUGUCGUUGUUGUUGCCUACACUGAAACAAUAAUAAAAGAUGCAAGUCAUAGUUUAAAUUCAAGAAUAAAGUGAAAAUAAAAGGUUGCAUAACAUUAAAAAAAAAUAAAAAAAAAAUAAGAUGAGAUACACCUUAUCAACGGCUACCUAGAUAUCCUAAAAUUUCAAAUCUAGUCCAAUACUUAUCCUAUAAGGUUAAAGGUAUCUUAUAAUCAUACGAAAUAAGUUGUGAUAUUAAAAUCUU
rnacentral:lncRNA from 1 species